GCUUUGGUGGUUCAGUGGUAGAAUUCUUACCUCCCAUGCAGGAGACCCAAGUUUGAUUCCUGGCCAAUGCC
rnacentral:tRNA from 1 species